rnacentral:rRNA from 1 species
AGGACGAACGCUGGCGGCGUGCUUAACACAUGCAAGUCGAACGAGGUUCAACCGGUCGCAAGACCGGCGAGGACCGAGUGGCGAACGGGUGCGUAACACGUGAGAAACCUGUCCCGGUCUCUGGAAUAACAGUCGGAAACGCUGCUAAUACCGGAUGCCGUCGGAGCGUCGCAUGGCGCGCUGACGAAAGGGCUACCGGAUCGGGAGGUCUCGCGGCCU